rnacentral:rRNA from 1 species
UACGGAAGGUGCAAGCGUUGUUCGGAAUGACUGGGCGUAAAGAGCGCGUAGGCGGGAAAGUAAGUCAGUUGUGAAAGCCCAAGGCUCAACCUUGGAAUAGCAAUUGAUACUGCUUUUCUUGAAUGCUUAAGAGGGUGGCGGAAUUCCAGGUGUAGGAGUGAAAUCCGUAGAUAUCUGGAGGAACAUCAGAGGCGAAGGCGGCCACCUGGUGAUGCAUUGACGCUGAGGCGCGAAAGCGUGGGUAGCAAACAGG